UCCGUCCUCCGGGGCGGCUGAUGCCCAUCCCGGGCAGCAUCCAAGCCGAGUGUAUGGCGCGCCCCCAGCCCCGGGAUUGGGGGGGGACCCGGGCCCCCCCCCAGGGCCUGCGCCCAUCCUCGGGGCCCGGGAUUCCCUCCGGGACGGGGCGGGACAGGAACGGACCCGACAGGACCGGGGACCGCUAAAUAGGCCUGAAAAAUCGAGAGAGUUUCCUGCUUUCUUCAUCAUUCCCCCAUCUCCUACACAUGGAUGGUAGCUGACUCCACAGAUAUUUAUAGCUCAGAAACCCAGGAGGCUGAAAACUUUUCAUCCUCAUCCCGGGUUCCAGAGAAAGGAGCUGAGGAUGCCUCAACAAUCAAUCCUGCUAAGUCUUGCUAAGGUUUGUGAUUUGAAAUCUCCAGAGAUUGAAACAGCUCUGGAAGAGAGAAGGAGAGAGAGAGAGUUCUUUUAACGGUGAAGAGACCAUAGAGCUCCCUAAACUUAGACCCUCCAAAAGAGCCAACAGGCAAGACAAGAUAAUGGCAGCUGCCCAAAGGAUCAUGGGAAAACUCUCCCCCUUUGCCAUCCUGAGGACGGAUUCAUCCCAGUGAUGGCCUGCAACAGCACUUUCUUAGAGACACACGCUUCCUUCCCCCUGAAUGGUAGCACCCCCCCGCCAGACUUCGGAUCCUCCACUUUGCCCGCUCCGCUCCGGAUACCUAUGGCAAUAAUCAUGCUGGUGAUGAUCGCGGUUGGAUUCCUCGGCAAUGCGAUCGUCUGCCUCCUCGUGUACCAGAAGCCCGCCAUGCGCUCAGCCAUCAACCUCCUCCUGGGCACGUUGGCUUUCUCAGACAUCCUGCUCUCCUUAUUCUGCCUGCCCUUCACCGCCAUCACCCUCAUCACGGGUACCUGGAACUUUGGGGCACCCUACUGCCGCAUCUCAGCCACGCUCUUCUGGUUCUUCGUCUUGGAAGGGGUGGCCAUACUCCUGAUCAUCAGCGUGGACCGCUUCCUCAUCAUCGUCCAGCACCAAGACAGGCUCACCCCACGCCGGGCCAAGGUAUUGAUCGCCGGCUCCUGGGCCCUGUCUUUCUGCAUCUCCUUCCCCUCGCUCGCGGGCUGGGCGUUCGUGGAAGUGCCGGCCCGGGCUCCCCAGUGCGUCCUCGGGUACACAGAGCUCCCCGCCAACAGAGCCUACGCGGUGACGUUGGUGACGGCUGUGUUCUUCGUGCCCUUCGGCAUCAUGCUGUACACCUACCUGUGCAUCCUGAACACCGUGCGGAGGAAUGUGGUCCGGAUCCACCACCACCAUCCCCUAAGCCGCCACGCGCCUGACGGCCUCCACCUGGGCCCCGCCAGCCCGACCGGCCUGCGGCGGUCUCGCCGGACGGCUGUGGACGUGAGCUUCAAAACCAGGGCCUUCAUGACGAUCCUGAUCCUCUUUGUGGGGUUCUCCCUCUGCUGGCUGCCUCACACGGUGUUCAGCCUGCUGUCCGUGUUCAGCCAGAGAUUUUACUAUGGUUCUUCUUUCUACGCUACUGGCACGUACAUGCUGGGGCUCAGUUACCUCAAGUCCGUCUUCAACCCCGUGAUCUACUGUUGGAGAAUUAAAAAAUUCCGGGAGGCCUGUGUGGAGUUCCUGCCCAAUACAUUCAGAAUCUCUCCCAGGGUGCCUGGGAGGACCAAGAGGAGGAUCCACCCAAGUACCAUCUACGUGUGUGGGGAGCACCAGUCGGCCGUUUAGGAAAAGAGCCGGGGUGGAGGCGGCGAGGCAGAGGAGCCAUUUCACUCUGGUUCUCCUCAUUCCCUGAACACCUUAAGAGCGGUCUCCGCCAUGGCCGUUUACGCCCAGAGCCCUCUCUGGGCUCUCAGUUCAUCUCACUGCCCCCUGUGCCGGACCUGAGGAGCAUUGGUCUCACUGGGCUCACCCCAGAGAGGAAUCCCACUCGACCCCUGGAGGACCCUAAGAGGCCACCUGCCAAGGAGUUCUUCGCCCCUCACCCCUGGGCUGCAAGAGAUUCAGAGGUUGGAUUGUGCAUUUCUGGGUUUGGGUCACAAGGACUCACACCUAUUUGGAUGUACUUAAAAUGUAGUUCCAAAAGGGCUUAGCAUGCAGCCACAAAGCUUCACCUAGUUUUCCAGAACUUGUCAUAAAAGUGCUCUUUUAGACGUAACUUGUGGCCAUGAUUAGCCCUCAAAUAGGAAUCAAAUGAUAAAAUGAAAUAGGAAUUCAAGUAGGAAUAUUGCCCUUUUUUAAGUGGUAAUCCAAAAGUAUUCUUAAUCACUUUAUCCUCUCUCCUAGGAGAAGGCAGGAAAGGUUGGGCAAUAAACAAGAUCCAGUGGGGAUUUUAUGUUUCUUUAUAAAGAAAAGGAUUUCAUUUAGCCUCAUCUAAGCUUGUGGGACUCCGGAUAAAAAUUCUCAGUUGCUGUUUCCCCGCUCCUAGGCCCCCCUCUGGCUAUAUCCACACAAAAUGGCAGAACCCUCAGAAAGAUAGAGACCUCGCAUACUUUUACCUCUAAAAAUACCAUCCUUACUAGCAUAUCUUUACCUCUACCUACUGACCCAAAUACAUUCGGUUCAAGUCCUUUGAAUGAGUGACUGAAACAUAACUAUGUACUUCUCCAGCUCUCCCUUCUAAUCCUGCCAGUGGGCUGAGCUUAGGCAUUCUGGAAGAGCACCAGCAUUCAGAAUUGUUACUAUGUUAAGCUCUUGCUAUGUGCCAAGCACUGUACUAAGCACUGAGGUUACUAGAUCACCAGAUUGGAUACAAUCCCCAUCCCACAGAGGACUCACAGUCUAAGUACGAGGCAGUAGGAUUUAAUCCCCAUUUCACAGUGAGGGAACUGAGGCACAGAGAUGUUUAGAAUGAUGCCAAUUUCAGUGUCCUUAUUCUCUAGAGAUAGACUGCAAAAGAGAAUAGGACAUACAGGACAUUAAAAAAACAAACAGUGUCCAUGGAGAGUAAGGGAAAUUCUGUUUUUUCCAACAAGUGAUGUUCUGAGAUGUAUUGGUAAAAGACGUUCAGAGUAACACUUUUGUCUAGAAUAAAUACUUUUGUAUACAUUUUGAGUAAAGUAUUGUUGUUCUAACA